AGUGUCAGAUCUAAAUCUACUUACGUACCCUCUCAGGAGGACAAUAAUAUCACGAUACUUAAACCCUCUCUGAGGAUACAGCCAGUA